rnacentral:rRNA from 1 species
CAAUAGCGUAUAUUAAAGUUGUUGCAGUUAAAAAGCUCGUAGUUGGAUUUCUGGCAGGAGCGACCGGUCCGCCGCAAGGUGUGCACUAGGUUGUCUCCAGUCAUCUUUGUGGGAACUGCUCUGGCAUUAGGUUGUCGGGGUUAGGGAACACAUCGUUCACUGUGAAAAAAUUAGAGUGUUUAAAGCAGGCUUAUGCCGUUGAAUACAUUAGCAUGGAAUAAUAAGAUAGGACUUUGGUGGUCUAUUUUGUUGGUUUGCACACCAAGGUAAUGAUUAAUAGGGAUAGUUGGGGGUGCUAGUAUUGAGAGGCCAGAGGUGAAAUUCUUGGAUUCUCUCAAGACUAACUUAUGCGAAAGCAUUCACCAAGGAUGUCUUCUUUAAUCAAGAACGAAAGUUGGGGGAUCGAAGAUGAUCAGAUACCAU